UCUGUACAGAAAAAAUCAUUGAAUAGUUCUUCUGCAUAGAAAUUAAAAGUAGUAUAUGGUUCUUUAAUUAGAGGUCACAAGAGAGCAAAGUAUAUGGUUCUACUUAUAUAUGCAUAGAGAGAAAGGCCUGAAACAGUUGAUGGACAAAGAUAGUGUGGUGCACAAGAAGGUGAAAUAGAUGAAGAAUAUGGCUGGAAAAGCUGUCCUUAAUGGUGUUCUUCUUUGAAUUCUGUUGAAGAACUAAUUGAGGAUAUCGUAGGUAAGGAUCAGGAUUCCUAAGAUCACAGCAUGAUCUUUUGCAGAAGAAUUACUAACUAGAUCCUAAUUUUGAAUGAGUUCAACCAUGGUAAGACUUUGACCUUUUGAAGCUUAGUCCAUUGUAAGACAUCAAGCCACAAUUUUUUGUAGUUUCCUAAGGAAUGCUUGAGCACAAUGUUGGUGGGUUUCGAUUUGACCAGAGAGAGGUAGUUCAUAGUUGCAAGAUUGAUCCUUGUGUUCAGAGAGUUUUAUCAGUAUGUUAAACUUGUGUUCCAUGUGAUUGUAUUUGUAUUUUUCUUACUUGUUUAUUUUGAGUUUUUGACCUUAAUUAUGUGAUGAAUGUUGUAAGCAAGACGAGCUUUGAGGGCGUUGAGGGCAGUGGUGAGGCUGCAGGCUAUAUUUCGCGGAAGGCUAGCGAGGAAGCAAGCUGCUGUUACUCUAAGGUGCAUGUAGGCUCUUGUUCGAGUUCAAGCUCGCGUCC